rnacentral:miRNA from 1 species
GUUAGAAAUGAAAAUCUCAGGCCUCACCCCAGACUUACUGAAUCAGAAACUCUAGGAGUGGAGUCCAGGGAUCUGUAUUUUAAUAACCCCU